rnacentral:misc_RNA from 1 species
UAGUCUCAUGGAAGUCAUUAACUAUUCUUAAUAUGAGCCAAAAUCAACUUUCGGGACAAAUCCCUGGGGAAAUUGGUUUUCUACAUAAUCUUCACCUGCUGGACUUGUCAGAUAACCACUUUUCUGGCCGAAUUCCACCUGAGUUUAGCUCCUUGAAGCUUAAUUUUCUUAAUCUCUCUUCCAAUCAUAUCACGGGGCAAAUCCCAAUCAGUUUAGAAAACACUGCUUAUAGCAGCAGCUUCUUGAACAAUCCUGGUCUCUGUACUAGAAAUUCAUUGCUAAGCCUUAAUCUAUGCAAUUCCAAUAGCCAAAAAUCAACCAAAAAUUCAAUCCAAUCCAUAGCUCUGAUAUCAGGUAUUCUAGCAACAGCCUUUUUGCUAGCUUUGCUACUCUCAUUCUUGGUGAUCAGAUUCUACCCAAAGAAAAAGCGCGUACUAAAUUCAACAUGGAAGCUCAUCUCAUUUCAGAAAUUGGAUUUCACAGAAUCAGACAUAUUGUCAGGUUUAACAGAAACCAACCUGAUUGGAAGCGGAGGAUCAGGAAAAGUAUACUGCGUUGCUACGCAUCGAUCAGGUCUUGUUGCUGUGAAAAGAAUUUUUAGUGACAAGAAGUUAAACCAAAAACUUGAGAAACAAUUCCAUGCAGAGGUUCAGAUAUUGGGUACGAUAAGGCAUUUGAACAUAGUGAAGCUGCUUUGCUGUAUUUGCAAUGACCAUUCAAAACUUCUCGUCUAUGAAUAUAUGGAGAGACAUAGCCUGGACCAAUGGCUGCAUGUGAAGAAGAGAUCAACAAGUGUCUCAGGUUCAGCCUGCUUGGACUGGCCUACGAGGCUACGGAUUGUACUGGCAGCAGCCCAGGGCCUGUCCUACCUGCACCAUGACUCCUCGCCCCCCAUUAUUCAUCGAGAUGUGAAAUCAAGCAACAUACUGCUAGAUUCUGCUUUCAACGCAAAAAUUACUGAUUUUGGUUUGGCCAGGGUGUUGGUUAAGAAAGGAGAAGACACAGCAUCUGUUGUGGCUGGCUCUGUCGGCUAUAUAGCUCCCGAGUAUCAAACUGCGAGAUUGAACGAGAAAAUUGAUGUUUACAGCUUUGGGGUU